GACGAACGCUGGCGGCGUGCCUAAUACAUGCAAGUCGAGCGCAGGAAGUCAUCCGAACCCUUCGGGGGGACGUUGACGGAAUGAGCGGCGGACGGGUGAGUAACACGUAAAGAACCUGCCCUCAGGUCUGGGAUAACCACGAGAAAUCGGGGCUAAUACCGGAUGGGUCAUCGGACCGCAUGGUCCGAGGAUGAAAGGCGCUCCGGCGUCGCCUGGGGAUGGCUUUGCGGUGCAUUAGCUAGUUGGUGGGGUAAUGGCCCACCAAGGCGACGAUGCAUAGCCGACCUGAGAGGGUGAUCGGCCACACUGGGACUGAGACACGGCCCAGACUCCUACGGGAGGCAGCAGUAGGGAAUCUUCCACAAUGGACGAAAGUCUGAUGGAGCAACGCCGCGUGAACGAUGAAGGCCCUCGGGUCGUAAAGUUCUGUUGUAAGGGAAGAACAAGUGCCGCACGCAAUGGCGGCACCUUGACGGUACCUUGCGAGAAAGCCACGGCUAACUACGUG
rnacentral:rRNA from 1 species